rnacentral:rRNA from 1 species
UACGUAGGGGGCAAGCGUUGUCCGGAUUUAUUGGGCGUAAAGAGCGUGUAGGCGGCCAUGCAGGUCAGCUGUGAAAACUCGAGGCUCAACCUCGAGACGUCGGUUGAAACCGUAUGGCUAGAGUCCGGAAGAGGAGAGUGGAAUUCCCGGUGUAGCGGUGAAAUGCGCAGAUAUCGGGAAGAACACCUAUGGCGAAGGCAGCUCUCUGGGACGGUACUGACGCUGAGACGCGAAAGCGUGGGGAGCGAACCGG